rnacentral:rRNA from 1 species
AUUGAACGCUGGCGGCAGGCCUAACACAUGCAAGUCGAGCGGAUGAAGGGAGCUUGCUCCUGGAUUCAGCGGCGGACGGGUGAGUAAUGCCUAGGAAUCUGCCUGGUAGUGGGGGAUAACGUCCGGAAACGGGCGCUAAUACCGCAUACGUCCUGAGGGAGAAAGUGGGGGAUCUUCGGACCUCACGCUAUCAGAUGAGCCUAGGUCGGAUUAGCUAGCUGGUGGGGUAAAGGCCUACCAAGGCGACGAUCCGUAACUGGUCUGAGAGGACGAUCAGUCACACUGGAACUGAGACACGGUCCAGACUCCUACGGGAGGCAGCAGUGGGGAAUAUUGGAUAAUGGGCGAAAGCCUGAUCCAGCCAUGCCGCGUGUGUGAAGAAGGUCUUCGGAUUGUAAAGCACUUUAAGUUGGGAGGAAGGGCAGUAAGUUAAUACCUUGCUGUUUUGACGUUACCAACAGAAUAAGCACCGGCUAACUUCGUG